rnacentral:rRNA from 1 species
UACGAAGGGGGCUAGCGUUGCUCGGAAUCACUGGGCGUAAAGCGCACGUAGGCGGCUUUUUAAGUCAGGGGUGAAAUCCUGGAGCUCAACUCCAGAACUGCCUUUGAUACUGAGAAGCUCGAGUCCGGGAGAGGUGAGUGGAACUGCGAGUGUAGAGGUGAAAUUCGUAGAUAUUCGCAAGAACACCAGUGGCGAAGGCGGCUCACUGGCCCGGUACUGACGCUGAGGUGCGAAAGCGUGGGGAGCAAACAGGG